GACAGAUGGGAGCUUGCUCCCUGAUGUUAGCGGCGGACGGGUGAGUAACACGUGGGUAACCUGCCUGUAAGACUGGGAUAACUCCGGGAAACCGGGGCUAAUACCGGAUGGUUGUUUGAACCGCAUGGUUCAGACAUAAAAGGUGGCUUCGGCUACCACUUACAGAUGGACCCGCGGCGCAUUAGCUAGUUGGUGAGGUAACGGCUCACCAAGGCGACGAUGCGUAGCCGACCUGAGAGGGUGAUCGGCCACACUGGGACUGAGACACGGCCCAGACUCCUACGGGAGGCAGCAGUAGGGAAUCUUCCGCAAUGGACGAAAGUCUGACGGAGCAACGCCGCGUGAGUGAUGAAGGUUUUCGGAUCGUAAAGCUCUGUUGUUAGGGAAGAACAAGUGCCGUUCAAAUAGGGCGGCACCUUGACGGUACCUAACCAGAAAGCCACGGCUAACUACGUGCCAGCAGCCGCGGUAAUACGUAGGUGGCAAGCGUUGUCCGGAAUUAUUGGGCGUAAAGGGCUCGCAGGCGGUUUCUUAAGUCUGAUGUGAAAGCCCCCGGCUCAACCGGGGAGGGUCAUUGGAAACUGGGGAACUUGAGUGCAGAAGAGGAGAGUGGAAUUCCACGUGUAGCGGUGAAAUGCGUAGAGAUGUGGAGGAACACCAGUGGCGAAGGCGACUCUCUGGUCUGUAACUGACGCUGAGGAGCGAAAGCGUGGGGAGCGAACAGGAUUAGAUACCCUGGUAGUCCACGCCGUAAACGAUGAGUGCUAAGUGUUAGGGGGUUUCCGCCCCUUAGUGCUGCAGCUAACGCAUUAAGCACUCCGCCUGGGGAGUACGGUCGCAAGACUGAAACUCAAAGGAAUUGACGGGGGCCCGCCCAAGCGGGGGAACAUGUGGGUUUAU
rnacentral:rRNA from 1 species